GACACCGGACCGGGAGGUCUUCCUCCUCCCUGACCCCCGAUCCGGCUCCGCGAUCCGCCACUCCUCCUCCCUCGGCGGAUCGCAAGAACGGCGGCGGCGUCCCACCUCCUCCCGGGGCGCCGCCGACCG
rnacentral:ncRNA from 16 species